GACGAACGCUGGCGGCGUGCUUAACACAUGCAAGUCGAACGGAAAGGCCCUGCUUUUGUGGGGUGCUCGAGUGGCGAACGGGUGAGUAACACGUGAGUAACCUGCCCUUGACUUUGGGAUAACUUCAGGAAACUGGGGCUAAUACCGGAUAGGAGCUCCUGCUGCAUGGUGGGGGUUGGAAAGUUUCGGCGGUUGGGGAUGGACUCGCGGCUUAUCAGCUUGUUGGUGGGGUAGUGGCUUACCAAGGCUUUGACGGGUAGCCGGUCUGAGAGGGUGACCGGCCACAUUGGGACUGAGAUACGGCCCAGACUCCUACGGGAGGCAGCAGUGGGGAAUAUUGCACAAUGGGCGGAAGCCUGAUGCAGCAACGCCGCGUGCGGGAUGACGGCCUUCGGGUUGUAAACCGCUUUCGCCUGUGACGAAGCGUGAGUGACGGUAAUGGGUAAAGAACCACCGGCUAACUACGUG
rnacentral:rRNA from 1 species